rnacentral:rRNA from 1 species
CCUACGGGAGGCAGCAGUGGGGGAUAUUGCACAAUGGGGGGAACCCUGAUGCAGCGACGCCGCGUGGGGGAAGACGCUCCUCGGCGCGGAAAGCCCUGUCAGCAGGGGAGCAAAUGACGGUACCUGAAGAAGAAGCCCCGGCUAACUACGUGCCAGCAUCCGCGGUAAUACGUAGGGGGCCAGCGUUAUCCGGAUUUACUGGGUGUAAAGGGGGCACAGACGGGGAGGCAGGCCAGGAGGGAAAGCCCGGGGCUCAACCCCGGGACUGCUCUUGGAACUGCGUGGCUGGAGUGCAGGAGGGGCAGGCGGAAUUCCUGGUGUAGCGGUGAAAUGCGUAGAUAUCAGGAGGAACACCGGUGGCGAAGGCGGCCUGCUGGACUGCAACUGACGUUGAGGCACGAAAGCGUGGGGAGCAAACAGGAUUAGAUACCCGAGUAGUC